rnacentral:lncRNA from 1 species
GGAUUGGAAUGGGGUCCGCAAAAAAGGUUGUUCAAGAGAGGGUUCUCGGACUACAUAAGUUUAAGAACCCCAGUUCUAUCCUAUUGGACCACAGUCCAAUGGGAUAGGAUUCAGCUUUAUUUUCAUCUACAUCUUUGUUUUUGAAUAUCAAACUUGAGAUUAAAUUCUUCAUCCAUCAUCACCUUCUCAUCUGUUUUCAUCUCUGUUCCUGGGACAAAAAACUAGUUGCACUUUUUGCCAAAGAAGUAGAAUUUCAGUGGUCUUAACACUUAAAUAAAUAACUUGCUCUUAACAGACCAAUUUUCAUAAAUAAAUAAGCACUUUUAGCAGGUGUAGUGGUAGUUUGUUCUGGUGUGGUGUUUUCGGACCUAAUCGAUGGUCCCUCUUCAGUGCCACACUUUGCCUGCGUGCUAACAGACAUAAAAGAUUUUAUGUCUGUUAGUAUGUGGGUAAAGUAUGGUACUGAAGAAUAUACUAGUAUACUCUUCAGUACCACACUUUUUCAGCACCCUUCUAAGUGUGGUGCUGAAGAGUAUACUAACAGACAUGAAAGAUUUUAUGUCUGUUGGUAUGGAGGUAGGGUUUGGUGCUGAGGAGGGACCGUCGAUUGGGCCCGAAAGCAUUGUACCGGAGUGGACUGCCACUAUACUUGCUAAAAGUGCUUAUUUAUGAUGAUUAGUCUGUUAAGAGCAAGUUGUUUAUAUAAGUACUGUUUUAAAUUCUGUCAACAAAUAGCAUAUUAAAAAUGUUUAAAAUCAGAAUUAAAAACGAAAUGCAUCAUAAAAUCAUAAGAUAUACAUUUCCGUAUUAAUUUUGGUAGCAUGUUAGUUUACAU